ACGGGGGGUGCAAGCGUUAUUCGGAAUUAUUGGGCGUAAAGGGCGCGUAGGCGGUCCUGUUAGUCAGAUGUGAAAGCCCGGGGCUCAACCCCGGAAGUGCAUUUGAAACGGCAGGACUUGAGUAUGGGAGAGGGAAGUGGAAUUCCUGGUGUAGAGGUGAAAUUCGUAGAUAUCAUGAGGAACAUCUGUGGCGAAGGCGACUUCCUGGACCAAUACUGACGCUGAGGCGCGAAGGCGUGGGUAGCAAACAGG
rnacentral:rRNA from 1 species